rnacentral:rRNA from 1 species
GACGAACGCUGGCGGCGUGCCUAAUACAUGCAAGUCGAGCGAUGAUUAAAGAUAGCUUGCUAUUUUUAUGAAGAGCGGCGAACGGGUGAGUAACGCGUGGGAAAUCUGCCGAGUAGCGGGGGACAACGUUUGGAAACGAACGCUAAUACCGCAUAACAAUGAGAAUCGCAUGAUUCUUAUUUAAAAGAAGCAAUUGCUUCACUACUUGAUGAUCCCGCGUUGUAUUAGCUAGUUGGUAGUGUAAAGGACUACCAAGGCGAUGAUACAUAGCCGACCUGAGAGGGUGAUCGGCCACACUGGGACUGAGACACGGCCCAGACUCCUACGGAAGGCAGCAGUAGGGAAUCUUCGGCAAUGGGGGCAACCCUGACCGAGCAACGCCGCGUGAGUGAAGAAGGUUUUCGGAUCGUAAAACUCUGUUGUUAGAGAAGAACGUUAAGUAGAGUGGAAAAUUACUUAAGUGACGGUAUCUAACCAGAAAGGGACGGCUAACUACGUGCCAGCCGCCGCCGUAA